GAUGAACGCUGGCGGCGUGCCUAAUACAUGCAAGUCGAGCGAACAGACGCGGCGCUUGCUCCUCUGACGUUAGCGGCGGACGGGUGAGUAACACGUGUAUCACCUACCUAUAAGUCUGGGAUAACUUCGGGAAACCGGAGCUAAUACCGGAUAAUAUAUUGAACCGCAUGGUUCAAUAGUGAAAGACGGCUUUGCUGUCACUUAUAGCUGGAUCCGCGCUGCAUUAGCUGGUUGGUAAGGUAACGGCUUACCAAGGCAACGAUGCGUAGCCGACCUGAGAGGGUGAUCGGCCACACUGGAACUGAGACACGGUCCAGACUCCUACGGGAGGCAGCAGUAGGGAAUCUUCCGCAAUGGGCGAAAGCCUGACGGAGCAACGCCGCGUGAGUGAUGAAGGUCUUCGGAUCGUAAAACUCUGUUAUUAGGGAAGAACAGAUGUGUAAGUAACUAUGGAGGUAUUGACGGUACCUAAUCAGAAAGCCACGGCUAACUACGUG
rnacentral:rRNA from 1 species